UACGUAGGGUGCAAGCGUUAAUCGGAAUUACUGGGCGUAAAGCGUGCGCAGGCGGUCUUGCAAGACAGGUGUGAAAUCCCCGGGCUUAACCUGGGAACUGCACUUGUGACUGCAAGUCUGGGGUACGGCAGAGGGGGAUGGAAUUCCGCGUGUAGCAGUGAAAUGCGUAGAUAUGCGGAGGAACACCGAUGGCGAAGGCAAUCCCCUGGGCCUGUACUGACGCUCAUGCACGAAAGCGUGGGGAGCAAACAGG
rnacentral:rRNA from 1 species